CCCGCUCAGAAACUCAAAUGAAUUGACGGGGCCCGCACAAGCGGUGGAGCAUGUGGUUAAUUCGAUGAUACGCGAGGAACCUUACCUGGGCUCAAAUGUAUGUUGACGUAUUCUGAAAGGGAUACUUCUUCGGACAAUAUACAAGGUGCUGCAUGGUUGUCGUCAGCUCGUGCCGUGAGGUGUCGGGUUAAGUCCCAUAACGAGCGCAACCCCUAUCAUUAGUUGCCAUCAGGUCAAGCUGGGGACUCUAAUGAAACUGCCUACGCAAGUAGUGAGGAAGGUGGGGAUGACGUCAAAUCAGCACGGCCCUUACGUCCAGGGCUACACACGUGCUACAAUGGCCGGUACAAAGGGCAGCUACCUGGUGACAGGAUGCUAAUCUCAAAAGCCGGUCUCAGUUCGGAUCGGAGUCUGCAACCCGACUCCGUGAAGUUGGAAUCGCUAGUAAUCGUGGAUCAGCAUGCCACGGUGAAUACGUUCCCGGGCCUU
rnacentral:rRNA from 1 species